GAUUCCCUAGUACUGCGAGUGAGCGGGAAAAGCUCAAAUUUAAAAUCCUUCGGGAAUUGUAAUCUAGAGAAGUGUUUUCGGUCGUUGCCUCGGACAAGUCCCUUGGAACAGGGCGUCAUAGAGGGUGAGAAUCCCGUCCUUGCCGAGCUACCAACGUCUAUGUGAUGCGCUCUCGAAGAGUCGAGUUGUUUGGGAAUGCAGCUCAAAAUGGGUGGUAAACUCCAUCUAAAGCUAAAUAUUGGCGAGAGACCGAUAGCGAACAAGUACCGUGAGGGAAAGAUGAAAAGCACUUUGGACAGAGAGUUAAACAGUACGUGAAAUUGUUGAAAGGGAAGCGCUUGAAGUCAGUCGCGUUGCAAGGACUCAGCCGCAAGGUGCAUUUCUUUGCAACGGGUCAACAUCAGUUUUGGGCGUGGGAAAAGGGCUUGAGGAAUGUGGCAGCUUCGGCUGUGUUAUAGCCUCCUGUCGUACACCAUGCCUGGGACUGAGGACCGCUAAUAGGAUGUUGACGUAAUGGCUUUAAGCGACCCGUCUUGAACCACGGACCA
rnacentral:rRNA from 1 species